rnacentral:lncRNA from 1 species
GUGUCAUUGUUUUAUAGAUACCAUAGUGAGAAAGGAUUCAUUUCGCAACACCUACGGCUUCCACUAGAUGUCAACGAUCUUUAUAAAGUUGUUUGAAGCGUCUAUGAUAAACAGAGAGCAAAUUAGAAUCCAAGGAAGUUGACAUGUCAUCACUUCAUUUUUUUGCACCUGCGCGUAAAUCUGAGAAGCGUGAGUUUGUCAUCAUUGUUUAUCUAGACAUAGGAUAGGUUGUGUGAAAAUAUUACUGAUGUUUAACGUUAAAAAUGGACCAAAAGAUUAAUGCUAAACAACAUUUGACAUGUUUGAACGAACGUAAAUAGAUUAUUUACUAGGUUUUUUUAGCUUUUCGGCGUGAUUUUACACUCCCCCCACCACGUUUUGUGGGAGCAUAAUGAACGCUAAGUACUUGGUGUUAUUUGGACAUAAAUUAUGAACUUUGUCAAAAGAAACCACAUUUGUUCUGGACCUGGGAUGCCUUCCGGACCUGGGAUGCCUGCCUUCUGAUGGAGAUAAUCAAAGGUAAAGGAAAUGGAAUGGACGGUAGACUGCAGCGAGUCCCUUGAGCUGAUGAGUGACACCAGCGCUUCCCCAGGGCUCCACAUAGUAAAGAUAAACUUUCUCACUGAACAUACAAAUCAAACGCAAAGACACACAGCAGAACAGACACUGAUUUAUCACUAAGGUAUUGUUUACCUCUUUCACCCACAGGACUUUUAUGUGCUUGCAUAUCUCUGCUUUAGUAUCCUGUUGACAUUUAGUGUGAGAGUCUCGUUUUAUGUGUGCAGCAAUGAAGACACUCACAGAUGUUCCAUGUCCAGGGGAAUAGAACAUUUUCUAUUAUUGUUUUUGUAUACUGAGGACUAAGUUUAAUCUUGGAUAAAAACCUGGUUUAAAGGUUGCCAGGACAACAACCUCUCCCUCAGCGUUAGCAAGACAAAGGAGCUGAUCGUGGAUUACAGGAAACGGAGGGGCAAGCACGCCCCCAUCCGCAUCAAUGGGGC